rnacentral:rRNA from 1 species
AAGCAUAUCAAUAAGCGGAGGAAAAGAAACCAACAGGGAUUGCCCUAGUAACGGCGAGUGAAGCGGCAUCAGCUCAAAUUUGAAAUCUGGCUCUUUCAGGGUCCGAGUUGUAAUUUGCAGAGGGCGCUUUGGUGUUGGCAGCGGUCCAAGUUCCUUGGAACAGGACGUCACAGAGGGUGAGAAUCCCGUACGUGGUCGCUGGCCUUCGCCGUGUAAAGCCCCUUCGACGAGUCGAGUUGUUUGGGAAUGCAGCUCUAAAUGGGAGGUAAAUUUCUUCUAAAGCUAAAUACUGGCCAGAGACCGAUAGCGCACAAGUAGAGUGAUCGAAAGAUGAAAAGCACUUUGGAAAGAGAGUCAAAUAGCACGUGAAAUUGUUGAAAGGGAAGCGCUUGCAGCCAGACUUGCCUGUAGUUGCUCAUCUAGGCUCUUUGCCUAGUGCACUCUUCUGCGGGCAGGCCAGCAUCAGUCUAGGCGGUUGGAUAAAGGCCUCUGUCAUGUACCUCCUCUCGGGGAGGCCUUAUAGGGGAGGCGUAAUGCAACCAGCCUGGACUGAGGUCCGCGCAUCUGCUAGGAUGCUGGCGUAAUGGCUGUAAGCGGCCCGUCUUGAAACACGGACCAAGGAGUCUAACAUCUAUGCGAGUGUUUGGGUGUCAAGCCCGAGCGCGUAAUGAAAGUGAACGGAGGUGGGAUCCCUUUAGGGUGCACCAUCGACCGAUCCUGAUGUCUUCGGAUGGAUUUGAGUAAGAGCAUGGCUGUUGGGACCCGAAAGAUGGUGAACUAUGCUUGAAUAGGGUGAAGCCAGAGGAAACUCUGGUGGAGGCUCGCAGCGGUUCUGACGUGCAAAUCGAUCGUCAAAUUUGGGCAUAGGGGCGAAAGACUAAUCGAACUAUCUAGUAGCUGGUUCCUGCCG